rnacentral:lncRNA from 1 species
AUGCAGGUGUUCUUUAUACAUUUUCCUACAGGGCUCCUCUGUGGAGAAAUCCGAAAAGCAUAUGUAGAAUUUGUCAAUGUCAGCAAAUGUCCACUUACUGGAUUGAAGGUUGUUUCUAAACGUCCAGAGUUCUUUACUUUCGGUGGUAAUACUGCUGUUCUAACACCACUGAGUCCCUCAGCUUCUGAAAAUUGUAGUGCUUACAAGACUGUUGUGACAGAUGCUACCUCUGUGUGUACAGCACUCAUAUCAUCAGCUUCUUCUGUAGACUUUGGCAUUGGCACAGGAAGUCAACCAGAGGUGAUUCCUGUUCCCCUUCCUGACACUGUUCUUCUACCUGGAGCCUCAGUGCAGCUGCCGAUGUGGUUACGUGGGCCUGAUGAAGAAGGUGUCCAUGAAAUUAACUUUUUGUUUUACUAUGAAAGUGUCAAAAGGCAGCCAAAAAUACGGCACAGAAUAUUAAGACACACUGCGAUUAUUUGUACCAGUCGGUCUUUAAAUGUACGGGCCACUGUCUGCAGAAGUAAUUCUCUUGAAAAUGAAGAAGGCAGAGGAGGCAAUAUGCUAGUCUUUGUGGAUGUGGAAAAUACCAAUACUAGUGAAGCAGGUGUUAAGGAAUUCCAUAUAGUGCAAGUAUCAAGUAGUAGCAAACACUGGAAGUUACAGAAAUCUGUAAAUCUUUCUGAAAACAAAGAUGCCAAACUUGCCAGUAGGGAGAAGGGAAAGUUUUGCUUUAAGGCAAUCAGAUGUGAGAAAAAAGAAGCGGCCACACAGUCCUCUGAAAAAUAUACCUUUGCAGAUAUCAUCUUUGGAAAUGAACAGAUAAUAAGUUCAGCAAGCCCGUGUGCAGACUUCUUUUAUCGAAGUUUAUCUUCUGAAUUGAAAAAACCACAAGCUCACUUGCCUGUGCAUACAGAAAAACAGUCAACAGAGGAUGCUGUGAGAUUGAUUCAAAAAUGCAGUGAGGUGGAUUUGAAUAUUGUCAUAUUAUGGAAGGCAUAUGUUGUGGAAGAUAGUAAACAGCUUAUUUUGGAAGGUCAACAUCAUGUUAUUCUUCGCACUAUAGGAAAAGAAGCCUUUUCAUAUCCUCAGAAACAGGAACCACCAGAAAUGGAACUAUUGAAAUUUUUCAGGCCAGAAAACACUACAGUUUCCUCAAGACCAUCAGUAGAGCAGCUUUCUAGUCUCAUUAAAACGAGUCUUCAUUACCCAGAAUCAUUUAAUCAUCCAUUUCAUCAAAAAAGCCUUUGUUUAGUACCAGUCACCCUUUUGCUUUCCAAUUGUUCUAAGGCUGAUGUAGAUGUCAUAGUUGAUCUUCGGCAUAAAACAACAAGUCCAGAAGCACUGGAAAUCCAUGGGUCAUUCACGUGGCUUGGACAAACACAAUAUAAACUUCAACUUAAAAGCCAGGAGAUUCAUAGUCUGCAGCUGAAAGCGUGCUUUGUUCAUACAGGUGUUUAUAACCUUGGAACUCCUAGGGUAUUUGCCAAGUUAUCGGACCAAGUUACAGUGUUUGAAACAAGUCAGCAGAAUUCCAUGCCUGCCCUGAUCAUCAUCAAUAAUGUGUGACAACUUGGACAUUUGUACUGAAAUCCACGAUAAUCAGUUUGUGCUGGAUGGGCUUUACAGCAGUAUUUGAUAUACCUAACUUGUUAUGGAGGUUGAUUGAUAUCUUAUCCCUGCAAAAUACUUUGACUUGUCAUUUUGUUUAUGAUGCAAAGCACGUUGGACUGAGAAUACUUAUAUUCUUUUCUGUAUUUCUUUAAACCCUGAGAAUAAUUUACAUGCUCAUAAUACAGGAUUUCAACAUUUAUCUGUGCACCUUAUUAAGCCCCAUCUUAAGAAAACACAAAGUCUAAGUCUGCUGUUACAACUUGUCAAUGGCAUAUGAAUAUUAGGAGAUGAUUCUGAGAAAGGAAAGGCGUUGGCAGUACUCCUGUUAAGCCAUUAGUCUCUAAAUUCCAGCUUUACUGUGAAGUUCUAUAGAGUGUUAAAUACAAAUUUUCCUGUCUUGCUUCACACAGUUCCUUAAAAUCAGUUUUGAACUUUGGUCAUAGAGUCUUCAUAUUUCAGUAUCUGGUGGUCCCUAUGGCUUAUACAUAACUUUGUAAAAAGAAAAAAAAAAUUUUUCUGAUGCUUUGAAUAUAGUUUUGAAAGGAGUUUUGACUUUUUUCCCCCUCAUUCAUCUCAGUAGAGUGUACUAUUUCACAAUACAAUUUUUGUCAUUAAAAUUAUCAUAUUCUUUAUUAUAUAACGUUAACAAUUGAGUUGAUCUGUUUAAAAUAUAAAUCUCAAGUUAAUUAAAAAUAAGCUUUUCAAAAAUGUAUUAUAUUUAUAACAAAUGUACUGUAAAUAGAAUAAAGACAUGCUAUUCACUGUAUAGAGUAUCUGUUGAUUAGAAAGUCUGGUUUCAAAAUAACUUUUUAUUCAGCGAAUGGGCAUUUGGACAUAGGAAAGUUCAAUUCAGCCCUGCUGCAGAUAAAGAAAUGGGAGCAAGGGUGUUUCAAAUGAAGCUCUCUUGUAAUUGGAGAAGGAGGGAAGACAGGGUGUAGGGGUGGGUGGCAGGGAGUACAAGAGCCAGGGUCAGCCAAGUCUGGAGCAGAUGGGGUCCUUGUGCCAUUGACAGCUACCAUGGUUUGUUCCAUCUCAAUCCCGGCACUAAUCAGAGCAUACCGCACCAAAGUGGGGAGAGAUCAAAAGACCCCGUUUUCAGACAGAAGAUUCCAAACUUGUACUUGAAACAACUCUUCUUGAGAGAGGGGUGGUUAGUCUGUGUGCCUCUCUGCAACUGCUGCUUAUGCUUCUGGAUCUAAAGUGGGUCUCUGGCUUCUCAGCUCCUUCCACUCUGUGUCUUAGCAGGUGUGGGACAAGGUGGAGAGGAAGGUCACAUUCUAAGGACACUCAUUCCCUUCUUGAGAGUUUAGGGCCAUGGGCUUAUAAAAAAGUCUGAGGAGCAAAGGAAUAACAAGAAUGAGAAGGAGGCAUAAUCACAGUGGUAUCUCAUAUUUAAACCACUCAGCUGAAUAUUAAAUUGAACAGAUUGUUAGACACUAAUAAAAAAAUUAAACUACAUAAACCUACAACUGAAUAUAUUAAAAGUAAAGGUAAUAAAGCACUCAAAAUUACCUUGUAAAUAUUACUCAAGAUUAUUUCUAUUGCAUCUGUAUCCUGGAAAUAUGUAAUGGUGUGUUUCUGCUCAUCUCUUGCCAACCCCGCAUUCAGUGACUUGCUGGUAGCUUGAAAUCGAUAAUAGUGGAAUGUUUACCUCAGGAAAAUCGGCAAAUGCUAUACACCAGGGCUUGAUUUAUUUUUGUUGUCUAUGCUAGACCUAAGAAAGUGUUGGAGAAAAUGUUAGUGAUGCGUAUUAAAUUUAAAAGUGUUGCGUAUUUGUAGCUAUUAGGAGUAGCACAAAUAGUUUAGGAAAAUAUUCCUGCAGUAUCUGAAAAGUGUUAACACUUUUCAACUGUUAACCCAGUUCAACAAAGAAGUUGCCUAUAUCACUGAUGAACUAGUGAAGAUCCAACAUGUGUUUUCUCACUUCCUCUUCCUCCUUAAUAGAAACAAAAAUAUCAACCAGCAUUCAUACUAAAAUUAUUCUUGCUUAUCAGUUGCAACAUAGGUUUGUUUUCUAUACAAGAGCUCAGCAAAAAUCAAACUACCCUGAGAAUCAAUUGACUUUUUGGAAUUUACAAAAGAGUAUUGCAUAUUUUAUUUUACUUGUAAAGUGUGUGCUAUACAAACUUUACACAAACGCAGUUUAAAAGAUUUUUUUUUCCCCCUGGAGAAUAAUUUGAUAAACAUUCAUCAGCGUACCUCUGGGCGUAGACCAUGAGAAAUAUUCUGACGUCUACAUUGCAGUUGGCCAAGAACUAAGGAAUCUUAUGGAAUCUUCCAGCUUUUAGAACCCAGUAGAGCAGUGGUUCUCAAAAUGUAGGCACAUAAUCAUUAGGGCAUUACUAAAAGUGUAAUAACAGAGGUUCUACCUCCUUAACCCAAUUUUGUUGGUCUGGUUUGGGGAUGAAACUUUGUUUUUGUUGUGAAUUUCCAUUUGUUUUCAAGUCUGGAUUUUAACAAGCCCCGGUUCUGAAGAAAGGAUCUGCAUGGUACACUUUGGGAAACAUUGUCCCAGGAAGCCUGAGAAGCACUUUAUAACGUCGAUUGAAUUGUCAGGCACAUCAUGGAAAUGUUAAUCUUUCAAAGUUCUAGGUAGCUAGGCCAGUGUUUUAAACACAUGCCCCUAAGAUAUUGAUUUGUUCAAAGAGUAAUUUUCUACUUCAAGGAUAUUGAAAUAUUGAGUUUCUGGUAGCUCAUUUGUUCAGUUAGGUUAAACAUUUAAUAAGGCUGGGGUUGACAAUCUCAGCUUGCCUAUCAAUUUUAUUAUUUCUUGGCUAUUGAUCAGAACUAUGAACUCUUACAAAGGUUUUGGUGUUGGUUGGCCUAUUUUGCCAUUCACAAUUAUUAGGUUCUUUUGGGCAGAUACAUGCAGUCCCUACUAGGUAUAGGUAGAUGAGAGUUAUAGAUAAGAUGACCACAUAAGUUUUCAUCCCAAAUGAGACAUUUUGAGAAUGAAGGAGGGCACUAUUAACAAUUACAAUUAUGGGGACAAUGGGAUAAACUGGGUCUGUUCUGGGCACCGAGAUGUAGGGGCCAAGGGAACGCUUCCCCUCUGCCUUCAAAAUGUUCACUGAAAAUAAACUGACAAUAAGCGGAUAUAGAAAAAGGCAUGUGAAACUUAUUUAACCUGCUUAAGCACAGGGGAGUCACAUGAGAAUGAUUUCCCAGUAACCCAGUGAGGUCCAGAUGCUACUAUACACUUCACAGGGGAAAGGGAGACUUGAGGUGUGGCAAUUUUGAGGAGUAGUAAAUGAUUGUUAGUGGAGGUGAAUGAACCUGGAGGCAGUAACCUGUAAAUGAUUCUCUUUGGAAUUUGAAUGAGCCCAAGAGGCAAACAUUGUCAGGCCUCUGAGCCCAAGCUAAGCCAUAAUAUCCCCUGUGACCUGCAUAUAUACAUCCAGAUGGCCUGAAGCAACUGAAGAAUCACAAAAGAAGUGAAAAUGGCCGGUUCCUGAUGACAUUACCUUGUGAAAUUCCUUCUGCUGGCUCAGAAGCUCCCUGACUGAGCACCUUGUGACCCCUGCCCCUGCCUGCCAGAGAACAUCGCCUUUGACUGUAAUUUUCCACUACCCACCCAAAUCCUAUAAAACGGCCCCACCCCCAUCUACCUUUACUGACUCUCUUUUCGGACUCAGCCCACCUGCACCCAGGUGAAAUAAACAGCCUUGUUCCUCACACAAAGCCUGUUUGGUGGUCUCUUCACAUGGACGCACAUGACAUUUGGUGCCACAGACCCGGACUUCUUUGGGACACCAGUCCCCUGUCCUCUCCCUCACUCUGUGAGGAGAUCCACCUACAACCUCGAGUCCUCAGACCAACUAGCCCAAGGAACAUCUCACCAAUUUCAAAUCGGGUAAGCUGUCUUUUCACCUCUUCUCCAGCCUCUCUUGCUACCCUUCAAUCUUCCUCUCUCACUACCCUUCAGUCUCCCUGUCCUUCCAAUUCCAGUUCUUUUUCCUCUCUAUUAGAGACAAAGGAGACACGUUUUAUCCAUGGACCCAAAACUCCAGCACCAGUCACAGACUCAAGAAGACAGUCUUCCCUUGGUGUUUAAUCAUGCAGGGACGCCUGCCUGAUCAUUCACCCACACUCCACCGGUGUCUGAUCACCACGGGGACGCCUGCCUGAUCAUUCACCCACACUCCACCGGUGUCUGAUCACCGCGGGGACGCCUGCCUGACUAUUCACCCACACUCCACCGGUGUCUGAUCACCGCCGGGACGCCUGCCUGACUAUUCACCCACACUCCACCGGUGUCUGAUCACCGCGGGGACGCCUGCCUGAUCAUUCACCCACACUCCACCGGUGUCUGAUCACCGCGGGGACGCCUGCCUUGAUCAUUCACCCACAUUCCCUUGGUGGCAAGUCAAUUGGAGGGACACGUGCUUUAGCUGCUCACCACCCCCCUUCUCCGUGUCUCUACCCUCUCUUUUCUCUUGGCUUGCCUCCUUCACUAUGGGCAACCUUCCACCCUCCAUUCCCGCUUCUUCUCCCUUAGCCUGUG